rnacentral:rRNA from 1 species
CAGUCGACGGUGAACACGGAGCUUGCUCUGUGGGAUCAGUGGCGAACGGGUGAGUAACACGUGAGCAACCUGCCCCUGACUCUGGGAUAAGCGCUGGAAACGGCGUCUAAUACUGGAUAUGUGACGUGACCGCAUGGUCUGCGUCUGGAAAGAAUUUCGGUUGGGGAUGGGCUCGCGGCCUAUCAGCUUGUUGGUGAGGUAAUGGCUCACCAAGGCGUCGACGGGUAGCCGGCCUGAGAGGGUGACCGGCCACACUGGGACUGAGACACGGCCCAGACUCCUACGGGAGGCAGCAGUGGGGAAUAUUGCACAAUGGGCGCAAGCCUGAUGCAGCAACGCCGCGUGAGGGAUGACGGCCUUCGGGUUGUAAACCUCUUUUAGCAGGGAAGAAGCGAAAGUGACGGUACCUGCAGAAAAAGCGCCGGCUAACUACGUGCCAGCAGCCGCGGUAAUACGUAGGGCGCAAGCGUUAUCCGGAAUUAUUGGGCGUAAAGAGCUCGUAGGCGGUUUGUCGCGUCUGCUGUGAAAUCCGGAGGCUCAACCUCCGGCCUGCAGUGGGUACGGGCAGACUAGAGUGCGGUAGGGG